ACUCCUACGGGAGGCAGCAGUGGGGAAUUUUGGGCAAUGGACGCAAGUCUGAUCCAGCCAUUCCGCGUGCAGGACGAAGGCCUUCGGGUUGUAAACUGCUUUUGUACAGAACGAAAAGGUCUUUAUUAAUACUAGGGGCUCAUGACGGUACUGUAAGAAUAAGCACCGGCUAACUACGUGCCAGCAGCCGCGGUAAUAC
rnacentral:rRNA from 1 species